UACGGAGGAUGCGAGCGUUAUCCGGAUUUAUUGGGUUUAAAGGGUGCGUAGGCGGGCUGUUAAGUCAGCGGUAAAAGCCCGGGGCUCAACCCCGGCGAGCCGUUGAAACUGGCUGUCUUGAGAUGUCGAGAGGUAUGCGGAAUGCGGAGUGUAGCGGUGAAAUGCUUAGAUAUUGCGCAGAACUCCGAUUGCGAAGGCAGCAUACCGGCGGCGAUCUGACGCUGAGGCACGAAAGCGUGGGUAUCGAACAGG
rnacentral:rRNA from 1 species